rnacentral:rRNA from 1 species
UACAGACUCCUACGGGAGGCAGCAGUGGGGAAUAUUGCACAAUGGGGGAAACCCUGAUGCAGCGACGCCGCGUGAGCGAAGAAGUAUUUCGGUAUGUAAAGCUCUCUCAGCAGGGAAGAAAAAUGACGGUACCUGAGUAAGAAGCACCGGCUAAAUACGUGCCAGCAGCCGCGGUAAUACGUAUGGUGCAAGCGUUAUCCGGAUUUACUGGGUGUAAAGGGAGCGCAGGCGGUGCGGCAAGUCUGAUGUGAAAGCCCGGGGCUCAACCCCGGGACUGCAUUGGAAACUACCGAACUAGAGUGUCGGAGAGGUAAGUGGAGUUCCUAGUGUAGCGGUGAAAUGCGUAGAUAUUAGGAGGAACACCAGUGGCGAAGGCGGCUUACUGGACGAUAACUGACGCUGAGGCUCGAAAGCGUGGGGAGCAAACAGGAUUAGAUACCCCCGUAU